GCGAGCGUAGUUCAGAGGUAGAACAUCAGCUUCCCAAGCUGAGAACGCGGGUUCGAUUCCCGUCGCUCGCUCCA
rnacentral:tRNA from 1 species